GGGGAAGUUCUUUCCUAUGAGAGUGGUGAGGUGCUGGAACAGCUGCCCAGAGAGGCUGUGGAUGCCCCGUCCAUCCCUGGAGGUGUUCAAGGCCAGGUUGGAUGGGGCCCUGGGCAGCCUGGGCUGGUAUGAAAUGGGGAGGUUGGUGGCCCUGCGUGUGGCAGGGGGUUGGAGAUUCAUGAUCCUUGAGGUCCCUUCCAACCCUGGCCAUUCUGUGAUUCUAUGA